rnacentral:rRNA from 1 species
GUGGCGCACGGGUGAGUAACACGUGAAUGACAUGCCCUUCAGAGGGGGAUAGCCCAGGGAAACUUGGAUUAAUACCCCAUGGUCUCGCAAGAGUAAAGGUGGCGCAAGCUGCCGCUGAGGGAUUGGUUCGCGCCCUAUCAGCUAGUUGGUGAGGUAACGGCUCACCAAGGCGAUGACGGGUACUUGGUCUGAGAGGACGAUCAGGCACACUGGAACUGAGACACGGUCCAGACACCUACGGGUGGCAGCAGUCGAGAAUAAUUCACGAUGGGGGCAACCCUGAUGGUGCAACGCCGCGCGGAGGAUGAAGGUCUUCGGAUUGUAAACUCCUGUCAUCCGGGAGAAAGACCUGGCUGUGAAUAGCAGACAGGGUUGAUAGUACCGGAAGAGGAAGGGACGGCUAACUUCGUGCCAGCAGCCGCGGUAAUACGAAGGUCCCGAGCGUUGUUCGGAAUCACUGGGCGUAAAGGGAGCGUAGGCGGUUUGGUAAGUCAGAUGUGAAAUCCCGGGGCUCAACCCCGGAACUGCAUCCGAUACUGCCAGACUUGAGCAAUGGAGAGGUAGCUGGAAUUAUCGGUGUAGCAGUGAAAUGCGUAGAUAUCGAUAGGAACACUCGUGGCGAAAGCGAGCUACUGGACAUUUGCUGACGCUGAGGCUCGAAGGCUAGGGGAGCGAAAGGGAUUAGAUACCCCUGUAGUCCUA